ACGCUCGACACCUACGUGAGGCAGCAGUGGGGAAUAUUGCACAAUGGGGGAAACCCUGAUGCAGCGACGCCGCGUGAGUGAAGAAGUAUUUCGGUAUGUAAAGCUCUAUCAGCAGGGAAGAAAAUGACGGUACCUGAGUAAGAAGCCCCGGCUAACUACGUGCCAGCAGCCGCGGUAAUCUGAGCGGGCUGGCAAGGC
rnacentral:rRNA from 1 species